rnacentral:rRNA from 1 species
AUUGAACGCUGGCGGCAUGCUUUACACAUGCAAGUCGAACGGUAACAGGCCGCAAGGUGCUGACGGGUGGCGAACGGGUGAGUAAUGCAUCGGAACGUGCCCAGUCGUGGGGGAUAACGCAGCGAAAGCUGCGCUAAUACCGCAUACGAUCGAUGGAUGAAAGCGGGGGACCGUAAGGCCUCGCGCGAUUGGUGCGGGCGAGUUCAGAUUAGGUAGUUGGUGGGGUAAAGGCUCACCAAGCCAACGAUCUGUAGCUGGUCUGAGAGGACGACCAGCCACACUGGGACUGAGACACGGCCCAGACUCCUACGGGAGGCAGCAGUGGGGAAUUUUGGACAAUGGGCGCAAGCCUGAUCCAGCAAUGCCGCGUGCAGGAAGAAGUCCUUCGGGUUGUAAUCUGCUUUUGUACGGAACGAAACGGUCCGGGUUAAUACCCUGGGCUAAUGACGGUACCGUAAGAAUAAGCACCGGCUAACUACGUGCCAGCAGCCGCGGUAA